CCUCGCAAGAGGAGGCUUGGAGGACAGGUGCUGCAUGGCUGUCGUCAGCUCGUGUCGUGAGAUGUUGGGUUAAGUCCCGCAACGAGCGCAACCCUUGUCUUUAGUUGCCAUCAUUUAGUUGGGCACUCUAAAGAGACUGCCGGUGUCAAACCGGAGGAAGGUGGGGAUGACGUCAAGUCCUCAUGGCCUUUAUGACCAGGGCUACACACGUACUACAAUGGCCGGUACAAAGGGCAGCCACUUAGCGAUAAGGAGCCAAUCCCGUAAAGCCGGUCUCAGUCCGGAUUGGAGUCUGCAACUCGACUCCAUGAAGUUGGAAUCGCUAGUAAUCGCAGAUCAGCACGCUGCGGUGAAUACGUUCCCGGGCCUU
rnacentral:rRNA from 1 species